CCAGCACGUUUAUCAACAUGAAACUUUCCCCUGAUUAGUUGUAAUGAAUAUUCGAGGAUGAUUUUUAAGAGAGUAUAGGUGCCACAAAAUGUAUGUAUGAAUAUUGCACGAAUACUUUUGAAUUGGAAUGUUUGGAUGAUAACCUUUGAAUCGAAGCUUCUUUUUUUUGUCGUGUUUCAGGUUGUAGCCCCUUGCGAAUGACGACAAAGUGAAUGGCGGUAGAAUCGGUUGUACUUAGUUUAGCUCGUGCUUGUAACUUGUUGUAAUAAUUUUUCUUCUUUAUUUUGGACUGUGACUUGGGGUGCAGAGAUUUUU
rnacentral:lncRNA from 1 species